rnacentral:rRNA from 1 species
CAACCAAAGCUGGCGACCGGCGCACGGGUGAGUAACACGUAUCCAACCUGCCUCAUACUCGGGGAUAGCCUUUCGAAAGAAAGAUUAAUAUCCGAUAGCAUAUAUUUCCCGCAUGGGUUUUAUAUUAAAGAAAUUCGGUAUGAGAUGGGGAUGCGUUCCAUUAGUUUGUUGGGGGGGUAACGGCCCACCUAGUCAACGAUGGAUAGGGGUUCUGAGAGGAAGGUCCCCCACAUUGGAACUGAGACACGGUCCAA